AUUGAACGCUGGCGGCAGGCUUAACACAUGCAAGUCGAGCGAGCGGCGGACGGGUGAGUAAUGUCUGGGAAACUGCCUGAUGGAGGGGGAUAACUACUGGAAACGGUAGCUAAUACCGCAUACCAUCAGAUGUGCCCAGAUGGGAUUAGCUAGGAGGUGGGGUAAUGGCUCACCUCGGCGACGAUCCCUAGCUGGUCUGAGAGGAUGACCAGCCACACGGGAACUGAGACACGGUCCAGACUCCUACGGGAGGCAGCAGUGGGGAAUAUUGCCAAAUGGGGGCAAGUCUGAUGCAGCCAUGCCGCGUGUAUGAAGAAGGCCUUCGGGUUGUAAAGUACUUGCAGCGGGGAGGCGUUACCCGCAGAAGAAGCACCGGCUAACUACGUGCCAGCCGCCGCGGUAAUAC
rnacentral:rRNA from 1 species